ACGGAAGGCAGCAGUGAGGAAUAUUGGUCAAUGGUCGGAAGACUGAACCAGCCAUGCCGCGUGCAGGAAUAAGGCCCUAUGGGUCGUAAACUGCUUUUGUGGUGGAGCAAUAAGGCGUACGUGUACGUCGAUGAGAGUACAUCACGAAUAAGCAUCGGCUAACUCCGUGCCAGCAGCCGCGGUAAUACGGAGGAUGCAAGCGUUAUCCGGAUUUAUUGGGUUUAAAGGGUGCGUAGGCUGUGUGGCAAGUCAGCGGUGAAAUGCCGGAGCUCAACUCCGGAACUGCCGUUGAUACUGUCAUGCUGGAAUACGGAUGCCGUGGGAGGAAUGAGUAGUGUAGCGGUGAAAUGCAUAGAUAUUACUCAGAACACCGAUUGCGUAGGCAGCAGACCAGGCCGUAAAUGACGCUCAUGCACGAAAGUGCGGGGAUCGAACAGGAUUAGAUACCCUGGUA
rnacentral:rRNA from 1 species